UUGAACGCUGGCGGCAUGCCUUACACAUGCAAGUCGAACGGUAACAGGUCUUCGGAUGCUGACGAGUGGCGAACGGGUGAGUAAUACAUCGGAACGUGCCCGAUCGUGGGGGAUAACGCAGCGAAAGCUGUGCUAAUACCGCAUACGAUCUACGGAUGAAAGCGGGGGAUCGCAAGACCUCGCGCGGACGGAGCGGCCGAUGGCAGAUUCGGUAGUUGGUGGGGUAAAGGCUCACCAAGGCGACGAUCCGUAGCGGGUCUGAGAGGAUGAUCCGCCACACUGGGACUGAGACACGGCCCAGACUCCUACGGGAGGCAGCAGUGGGGAAUUUUGGACAAUGGGCGAAAGCCUGAUCCAGCCAUGCCGCGUGAGUGAAGAAGGCCUUCGGGUUGUAAAGCUCUUUCGGCGGGGAAGAAAUCGCAUUCUCUAAUACAGGAUGUGGAUGACGGUACCCGAAUAAGAAGCACCGGCUAACUACGU
rnacentral:rRNA from 1 species